rnacentral:rRNA from 1 species
AGUGAACGCUGGUGGUAGGCCUAACACAUGCAAGUCGAACGGCAGCACAGUAAGAGCUUGCUCUUACGGGUGGCGAGUGGCGGACGGGUGAGGAAUACAUCGGAAUCUACUUUUUCGUGGGGGAUAACGUAGGGAAACUUACGCUAAUACCGCAUACGACCUACGGGUGAAAGCAGGGGAUCUUCGGACCUUGCGCGAUUGAAUGAGCCGAUGUCGGAUUAGCUAGUUGGCGGGGUAAAGGCCCACCAAGGCGACGAUCCGUAGCUGGUCUGAGAGGAUGAUCAGCCACACUGGAACUGAGACACGGUCCAGACUCCUACGGGAGGCAGUAGUGGGGAAUAUUGGACAAUGGGCGCAAGCCUGAUCCAGCCAUACCGCGUGGGUGAAGAAGGCCUUCGGGUUGUAAAGCCCUUUUGUUGGGAAAGAAAAGCAGCAGGUUAAUACCCCGCUGUUCUGACGGUACCCAAAGAAUAAGCACCGGCUAACUUCGUG